UCGGGGGAGGGGGAAGAGCGGGGAGCUGGCCACCGCUCUACACUCGGGCUGGGGAGAAGACGCCCCCCACCCCUUCUAGGUCGGCCUCUCCAUUCAAGUGCCCCAGCCCCAGCCCCAGCCGCCGGGAUCCGGGGAUGGCACCAGCCGCCCUCCCGGCUCUGCGCCCUUUUUCCAGCCACCGCGCAGAAAUUUAGGUCAAGGACGUCGGGAUCAAACCCAGACCCUGGCGCUCCUCGGGCGGCCCCCGAGACCCCUCUAGGUCGGGGGCCUUCAGGAUUGCGGAGACCCUCCCGCACCAACGCCAGCCACAAGUUUUAUUUUCCUCUCGCGCUGGAAGUUCUCUCUGGCUCUCGCUCCAAACCGGCACGUCUUGCGCCGCUCCCCGCCCUUCCCUGGCAGAGGUCGCGGAGCUGAUUAAGAAGAAAGCUGACUCCUGCCUCCCAGUCUUGGGUCCAUUUCAUCCAUUUCCAAACAUAAAGCCUCCAGCUGCAUCGGGAAGAUCUUGGCCAGUUUAAAAAGGCAGAGUUUGGAUUUGUGUGCAGCGAUUUCAGGAAUGUGGGGUUUUCUGGUUCGUGUGUGUGGAUGGCACCGCAGAGGGGAAAUAAAACAGUCUUGCUGCCUUGCAUGUAGGGUCUUACUAGUAGUUAGGUGACUUUGAGCUGACAAGCCCCCCCCACCCCCAUCUCAAGGGCAUCAUCCAUACAUGAGGAAUCACGAUGCUUUUAAAAUAGCUCCACAAAUUCUUUGGUGCUCUUGCAAGAGGUGGAGCCUAAUUUUAGCCCCGGCGCCCUGAGCGUGGAUAGCACUGAGUCACUGGCUUCGAAUGAACAGAACGUGGAAGAAAUGAUGGCAGGCGAGUUCUGAGGCUAGAGCAGAAAAAGCAUGUGGCCUCUGCCUUGCUCUCUCUCCAGGAUCACUCUAGAGGAAGCCAGUUUCCAUACCAUCAGGAUGCUCCAGUAGCCUGAUAGGUCCGCCCACAUGGAGAAGAACUCUAGAUUCCUGUCGACAACCCAAACCACGAUUGUGAGACGUCUUAAAGGCACAUCCACCAGCCCCAGCCGAGCCUUCGGAUGACAGCUACCCCAGCCCACGUCUCCACAGCAACUCAACGGGAGACCUUGGGUCCGAACCUCCCAGCCAAGCCACUCCCAAUUCCCCGACCCUCAGAACCUGUGUGAGACGAUACAUACUCGCUUGAAGCUACUAAGUUUCAGGGGUAAUUGGUGGCACAGCCACGAUGACUAAUAUGGAGAUACUUCAAAAUGUGUGAAAACAGAGCUGCUUUACUUUAUAGGCGAGCAGCAGGACUUCCUAUGCUCAUGUUUUGAGAGGGCUUUCCUUAGACGCUGGCCAAAUGAACUGCAUAUUAGAUAUAAAGUAGCGAUUGCAUAUUAUUAAUGGUAUCAGAGAGCAACACAUUUCAUGUUCAAUUACCUACAAUGCUCUUUCUGGAGCAUCGCUUUGCUCAUCUUCUUAUCCCCACUGCACACUUACAAAAGGUCACUGUCGAGAUAUAAAAGUAUACGUAUGAUUUAAAUGUCUUGACUCAGUUACUAACAACCAUGAGCGUGUUUCCACAUUGGAAGAGCAAGAUCCAUUUAAACUUGCUCUUUUUCGCGGAGCGCUCUCUGUUUACUUUUCGGUAUUGGGUUUCACCAGCAGGCCAAGCACCUCUCUGCUUAAAGAGUCUGUUCACUUUGUCUCCUGGAGCCUCACAAGCCUGACUCUUCAGGACAGACAUGGCCAACUUUGCACUGAAAAAGCAAACCAGUGUUUUUUACCAGAAAAUAUGAAGUGAAGUGAAUUUUUUAUUCAUGAAAAUUCCACCGAGUAUAAAUUCCCUGUCUAAAAGGAAUGGGGCCUUUGUAUUUCCCUUAAGUAAAUAAAUAGCUUCUUUCCUCAA